UGUGCUAAGGUAGCAUAAUCACUAGCCUUUUAAUUGAAGGCUUGUAUGAAGGGUAAAACAUUUUAAUUUCUUUUUUAUUUAAAUUUUUCAAAAUUAUAUUAAAUAUAAAAAUAUAUUUAUUUAAUAAAUAGACGACAAGACCCUAUUGAACUUUACUGAAGUUUAGCUGGGGCAGCUAAUUAAUUAACAUUUUAAUAUAAAUUUCUUUCAUAAAGACCAAAUUAUAUUUGAUUAUAUGAAUUAAGUUACCAUAGGGAUAACAGCGUAAUUUUUUUUAAAAGCUCAUAUUUAAAAAAAAGAUUGCGACCUCGAUGUUGAAUUAAUGUUACACAUAUGCAAUAAUAUAUAUUGUAGGUCUGUUCGACCUUUAAAACAUUACAUGAUUUGAGUUCAAAUCGGUGUAAGCCAGAUUGGUUUCUAUCUUUUAUAAUUAUUUGUUUAGUACGAAAGGACCAACAAAUUUAUUAUUAAU
rnacentral:rRNA from 1 species